rnacentral:rRNA from 1 species
UACGUAGGGCGCAAGCGUUAUCCGGAAUUAUUGGGCGUAAAGAGCUCGUAGGCGGUUUGUUAAGUCUGUUGUGAAAUCCCCGGGCUCAACCUGGGAAUGGCAAUGGAUACUGGCAGCUAGAGUGUGUCAGAGGAUGGUGGAAUUCCCGGUGUAGCGGUGAAAUGCGUAGAGAUCGGGAGGAACAUCAGUGGCGAAGGCGGCCAUCUGGGACAACACUGACGCUGAAGCACGAAAGCGUGGGGAGCAAACAGG